CCUACGGGUGGCAGCAGUGGGGAAUACUGCACAAUGGGCGCAAGCCCGAUGCAGCCAUGCCGCGUGUGUGAAGAAGGCCUUCGGGUUGUAAAGCACUUUCAGCGGGGAGGAAGGCGGUGAGGUUAAUAACCUCAUCGAUUGACGUUACCCGCAGAAGAAGCACCGGCUAACUCCGUGCCAGCAGCCGCGGUAAUACGGAGGGUGCAAGCGUUAAUCGGAAUUACUGGGCGUAAAGCGCACGCAGGCGGUCUGUCAAGUCGGAUGUGAAAUCCCCGGGCUCAACCUGGGAACUGCAUUCGAAACUGGCAGGCUAGAGUCUUGUAGAGGGGGGUAGAAUUCCAGGUGUAGCGGUGAAAUGCGUAGAGAUCUGGAGGAAUACCGGUGGCGAAGGCGGCCCCCUGGACAAAGACUGACGCUCAGGUGCGAAAGCGUGGGGAGCAAACAGGAUUAGAUACCCGAGUAGUC
rnacentral:rRNA from 1 species